rnacentral:sRNA from 10 species
UAUUGACUUAAGGGGCAACUCUUAACCGGCCAGACAAGGAAAAACCGAGAGGUUCAAGCUUGUAGGGCGGAAAACUCCGCAGAGUAGCGCUUAACAUAGCGGGGUGGCGGGUUCGGCGGUAGCGCGUUCAACGACGAACCAA